rnacentral:rRNA from 1 species
GUCGAGCGGUAGCACAGGGAGCUUGCUCCUGGGUGACGAGCGGCGGACGGGUGAGUAAUGUCUGGGAAACUGCCUGAUGGAGGGGGAUAACUACUGGAAACGGUAGCUAAUACCGCAUAACGUCUACGGACCAAAGUGGGGGACCUUCGGGCCUCAUGCCAUCAGAUGUGCCCAGAUGGGAUUAGCUAGUAGGUGGGGUAAUGGCUCACCUAGGCGACGAUCCCUAGCUGGUCUGAGAGGAUGACCAGCCACACUGGAACUGAGACACGGUCCAGACUCCUACGGGAGGCAGCAGUGGGGAAUAUUGCACAAUGGGCGCAAGCCUGAUGCAGCCAUGCCGCGUGUGUGAAGAAGGCCUUCGGGUUGUAAAGCACUUUCAGCGAGGAGGAAGGGUUCAGUGUUAAUAGCACUGUNCAUUGACGUUACUCGCAGAAGAAGCACCGGCUAACUCCGUGCCAGCAGCCGCGGUAAUACGGAGGGUGCAAGCGUUAAUCGGAAUUACUGGGCGUAAAGCGCACGCAGGCGGUUUGUUAAGUCAGAUGUGAAAUCCCCGCGCUUAACGUGGGAACUGCAUUUGAAACUGGCAAGCUAGAGUCUUGUAGAGGGGGGUAGAAUUCCAGGUGUAGCGGUGAAAUGCGUAGAGAUCUGGAGGA